rnacentral:rRNA from 1 species
AAAACGGCCCUCGGGGCCCGGGACUGUACCAGAAAGUAAGCAUCGGCUAACUACGUGCCAGCACCCGCGGUAAUACGUAGAAUGCAAGCGUUGUCCGGAUUUACUGGGUGUAAAGGGUGCGCAGGCGGAGAAGUAAGUCANAGGUGAAAGCCUACAGCUCANCUGUAGAACUGCCUUUGAUACUGCUUCCCUUGAGUAUGGUAGAGGUCGNCGNAAUUCCCGGUGUAGCAGUGAAAUGNGUANAUAUCGGAAGGAACACCAGUGNNGAAGGCGGCCGGCUGGACCAUAACUNACGCUCAUGCACGAAAGUGUGGGGAUCAAACAGGAUUANAUACCCUGGUAGUCCACACUGUAAACGAUGUAUGCUUGGUG